UCACAGUGCUGGGACUUGAAUUUUCACCACGUUUUCAUCAUACCUGUUUUGAUGACUAGGAUGAUGUUAUCUUGUGGUGGUUGCAUUUUUCAUCUCUCUGCAAGUUUAGAGCAUCCUGAGAUCUGAUGGCAUGGGUCACAAUCAUGUCCCUAUAGCACUUUUGGCAUCCAUGAAUGCUUGGUUUACAGAGGACAGACUCCAUGUUGACUCUCAACGAUGUUACAUCUCUCUAGGUUAUUUGAUUGGAAUCUUCUCAGGAGACACAGAAAGAUGGUCCACUAGGCAAUUACUGGAGAUGAAAUCACAGCACUGCUAUCUCUUUCAAUUGGAGGAUUUCCUUGUACAUUCAAUACUACAGGAUUUUCUAACAUUUCGUCUUUGAUUUAGUCAUGUUGAGAACAGGAUUUAGUUAACGAAAUAAACAAAAAAUUAGAGCCCCACUGAACUGCUUCAGCUUGACCGAAUGCCAGAUCUUUGGAAACUCAUAGUGAUACAGUUGUCAUAAUUUAAAAUUGUCAGUCCUUUAUUGGCCUAACAUUCUCAGAACCUGUUCCCAGACAUUUUUUCCUCUGUGUAUUUUUAAAAUGUUAUGUAAGCCAAGUGUUUUGGCUUGUGCCUUUAAUUGCAGCUCUUAAACGCAGAGACAAGUGGAUGAGGGCAGCCUGCCCCAGGCAGAGACAACCAGGACUACAUGGUGAGACCCUAACUCCAAACCAAAACCGUACAGCCAAACAAUACAAAGCAUAAAACCAAAAUCGCUUAAAAUAAGCUGGGAGCUGGAGAGGUUGUUCAGUGGUUAAGAACAGUGGCUGCUCUCCAAAAAGAUCUGGGUUCAAUUCCCAGUACUCCGUGGAGCUCAAACCAUCUGUAACUCCAGUUCAAGAUUAUCUGACACCCUCUUAUGGCCUCUGAGGGCACCAGGCAGGCAACCACAUGCUCCAUAGGCAUAUACACAGGCAAAAUAUGUGUGUAUAAAUUUUAAAAAUUAAAAUAAAAAAAAGUUGAAAUAAACAACAUCAUUUUUCCCCAUGAAA